rnacentral:lncRNA from 1 species
AAACAGCCAGGACAUCUCAACAAAUUGAGAUUAAUCACAAAACAAACCCGGGCCAAAAAGCUCAAAAGGUGACAAAUGCCGGAACAAACAGCGAAUGCCGUAAAGUUCUCUAGCGUCACUACAUGUGUGGCUCCCAAACAGGUUUAAGUUUCCUGCAAUUGAACAACGGGCGGUGGCAACAUCGAGAAGUGGUGGAGUGGACAGGACACAAAUCAAUUAUGUUGCCACGGGACAAAGGCGAGAGCGUCGAAAAAAAAUAAUGGCAAUACAAAAGUGGAGUAGAAUGUGGAGGAGGUGGCGUUGGUGGAGCUAGCCGAGCACAAAAAGGAACAAUGGCCAACAUUGGCAACCUGCUGCGCUAAUGCCGGUCUCAGACAAACGAACCCCCCGCCGAAUACCCCACAUCUAGUGCCUGAAAAACAUGCACUGCGAGAAAUAAAGUCGAGAACAGUCCUAUGAUUGAAGCCGGAAAUCAACUUUUAAUUUAAAUUGAAAAAGCAAAGGAAAAAGGUUUUUUCUAAUGAAUUUCUAAAAGAAUGAAAUAGAAGAAAUUG